rnacentral:lncRNA from 1 species
GGCAGUGUGCUGAAGAAGAACCCUGGCCUUGUGAGACUGAAUGUAUGCAAGAGUCCACUGGAGAGGCUGAGAAUAUCGCAUGCAAAGAUUCUUGAUGUUCUUGAGCAAAACCCUAAAAAUGCAACAUACAGAAAGCAUACAGAACUGUUUACAAAUGAGAAGCUGGUUAAAAUGGUUAAAUGGUUAAAGCAGAACCAGAUGUUAAAAAAUAAGAAGACUGACUUCAAGGUGGCCAAAUAGAAGAGGUGAUUCUUCAGGCUAAAAAUGAAUGAAGUCUGGUGAAAAAAAUAAUGCAGUGGAAACCAUGAGACCUCUUAGCUGACGAGCCUCCUGCCAAUCAGUGGAAAUGGCCAAUAU